rnacentral:rRNA from 1 species
UACGUAGGCAGCGAGCGUUGUUCGGAGUUACUGGGCGUAAAGGGCUCGUAGGCGGCCAACUAAGUCGGACGUGAAAUCCCUCAGCUUAACUGGGGAACUGCGUCCGAUACUGGAUGGCUUGGAUUCGGGAGAGGAAUGCGGAAUUCCAGGUGUAGCGGUGAAAUGCGUAGAUAUCUGGAGGAACACCGGUGGCGAAGGCGGCAUUCUGGACCGACAUUGACGCUGAGGAGCGAAAGCCAGGGGAGCAAACGGG